GAUGAACGCUAGCGGGAGGCUUAACACAUGCAAGUCGAGGGGUAUAGUAGCAAUACUAGAGACCGGCGCACGGGUGAGUAACGCGUAUGCAACCUGCCCUUUACAGGAGGAUAGCCCGCUGAAAGGCGGAUUAAUACUCCAUAAGAUAGUACUGCUGCAUGGCAGAGCUAUAAAAGCUUUUGCGGUAAAGGAUGGGCAUGCGUGACAUUAGCUAGUUGGCGGGGUAACGGCCCACCAAGGCUACGAUGUCUAGGGGUUCUGAGAGGAAGGUCCCCCACACUGGUACUGAGACACGGACCAGACUCCUACGGGAGGCAG
rnacentral:rRNA from 1 species